UCUAACUUGCACGUGCACAAGUUGUCUCUUCUCAUGUCUCACAGGAAUGGAAUAGUUGCUGCUGAAGUGAGGUUCUGUGUUACUAAUGGUACAUCUAUACAGUUGCUUGUGCUUGAACUUGGGCACAAGUGUAACCCCCCUUGCAUCUACACUGCAAUUGCACUAACCCAGGACUUGGACCCAGGGUCCCAGGACUUUGUAGGGUUGUAGGUCCGAGCACAAGGUAAGCCGGGACCCAGGGUGUGGGCCCCGUUUCUUUGGAGUGUGGAUGCAGCCCUGUAUGAUUUGGGUCCUGGUAGUCAGAUGGAAGUAUUCUACAAUUCUGUGGGAUGACUUCCUUAGUCUUCUUUAUCCCAACAAUCUGUAAUCCAUUCUAUUGAAAAUAGAAGCCCCCUCCCCCCCCCAGCCCGGUGAAUGGCAGCAGUUCAGGUCAGCUUUUAACCCAUUCUCUUCUGAUCACUGAUCUGCAACCACACUAUCAGAGAGCCUCCUGGGUUUGCAGUGGAGAGUGAACUGAUCAAGUUUUUUGCAAAGUGAGCUGCUUCACGGGAUCACAGCAAAAUUUUAGUGAAUCUCUGGUGCAAAGCCAGGAAAACUGCAGACUUCAGCAAAAACACAAGGAAUGACUAUGUGAGCCAGCAGCUAGCUAAAAAGCUGGCAGCUCUGCAGAUUUUCUGGGCAGGUGAUUGGUGCAGGGAGCAUAUUAAGAGUACUGGAAGACCAGGGACAAGAAAUACACCUCGAGCAAUUUGUGAGAUAACUUUCAUUGGGUUCUGGUCUGUGUACUCUGCACGAAGCCAACUGUUCUUCAUGACAGCCUGGUCAGCUGGGAUGGUACCCUGUUGGUCCCUGAAUCGAGCAUGGAGACUGCUGGGAGACAGCAGCAGUUUCCUAGUGAGGAGCAAGAAGUGACUCUCUUUCAGUGAAACCAAUCCCAGAGGAGGCUCUGGAUCUGGAUCAACAGCACGUUCUCGUUCUCUACUUGGAAGAACUGUUCGAUUUUCCCCACCCCACCCCAAGAAAUAUGCCGCUGCUGAGUCUGCAGCAAACCUGGUGGAGACAGAAGCCUUCUCAGAGUCCGUAACUGCAAUUAACCAGGCUGUGUCCAGAGACAGUAUGAGGACUGAAUCAUCCCCAUCACAAAGUGAUUCUCAACCUAUAUUGCCUGCUGUUCUUCAGGAACUUGAUCCCUAUCCUAACACUCCUUCACUGACUGUUCCAAAAGGAAGUAUUUCCACGAAGAAGUUAUGAUUGAUGCUCUUGAGAGGGCAGACCAGGAGGUCCUAUAUCAGAAGAAAAGGGACAAAACGCCUGCAGCAAUGUAUGCGUUGACAGACAGGAGGAAAGUCUGAGGCUUGCCACCCAGG